rnacentral:tRNA from 2 species
GGAGGUGUGGCCGAGCGGUUUAAGGCACCGGUCUUGAAAACCGGCGACGGUUUGCCCCGUCCGUGAGUUCGAAUCUCACCGCCUCCGCCA